CACCACAGCAGUAAGCAUCACCCCCAACCUUCCACCCCUGGCUUCCUUCUGAAUCAUAAAUCAUGCAAGAGAGAUCAGUGAGUCCAGUUUUCUUGCCUUUAACAACUGGAACUGAUAAUGCCAGAAAGGAAGAGAAACAAACCAUGUGAGCCUUAUUGCUGCCAGAGGAGGGGUACGCUUGGGAAGGUCCAGGUCUCUCCUUCGUUUGGAACUCCCAUGGCUAAGAAGGCUCUUGGAUCCUCCAAGUGGGUGGUUCUCAAACCUGGCUUCCCAGGAGACCCAAGCCUAGGGCGGCUGGCUAUAAUUGUUGGCUUGGAUAUUGAGAUUUCAUGGGAUUAGACAUAGUGUCUAACCCUUCUCAUGAAGGGUCUUCUCCAUACCUCGCAGACAGAUGGCUAUAGGGGCCUGACUCUAGUCUCCAGGGAAAAUGCCUUCAAGAGAUGCAGCGCCACAGGAAAUAAAAGCGAACCCUCAACCAACUUGUUAAGGAACGCCCAACCUGCCGCAGGUUGGGAGCAUUCGAGAUUGUAGACAUGCCUCUGCAUUUUUCCCUUUCUUUUCAUGAUGCCUUAAAGCAUGACGCUUCCAUCAUCGCCCUUUGGAGAGACAUACUUUCAAUUCCACAUUUCAAAAAGGGACAGAGAACUUGGAGAGAGUUCAGACAAGAGGGACCCGAGGCAGGACCAUUUUUCUUCAAAGGGAGAAGCAAUAACUGAGGAAUGAACUUGAAUUAGGAACAAUUUCAGGUAUA